CCCAGGGGAGCCCAAAAGGUGGCCAGCUCUUUGGCUCCCAUAAAACGAGGCAAACGUUAAACGCCCCCUAGAAAUUGCCACCCAAGGCAAAUGCCUUGUUUGCCUCGCGGCAAAUAUGUCCCUGGUCCUAAUCUCAACAUCUGAGGAAAGGGAUUUAGGGGUAAUUAUUUCACAUGACUUAAAGGUAGGUAGACAAUGUAAUAGAGCAGCAGGAAAUGCUAGCAGAAUGCUUGGUUGUAUAGGGAGAGGUAUUAGCAGUAGACAGAGGGAAGUGCUCAUGCCAUUGUACAGAACACUGUUGAGACCUCAAUUGAAGUAUUGUACGCAGUACUGGAGACCAUAUCUCCAGAAGGAUAUUGAUACUUUAGAGAGAGUUCAGAGGAGGGCUACUAAACUGGUUCAUGGAUUGCAGGAUAAAACUUACAAGGAAAGGUUAAUGGAUCUUAACAUGUAUAGCUUGGAGGAAAGACAAGACAGGGAAGAUAUGAUAGAAGCAUUUAAAUACAUAAAGGGAAUCGACACAGUAAAGGAGGAGAAUAUAUUUAAAAGAACUAUCACAACAAGAGGACAUAGUAUGAUUUACCCCCAAGAGGUAAAGCAGCCACCACUACCAUUUAAGAUGGCGUCUAUCCUCUCUACUGACCUGGCUUGGGCCCUCACAGCAACUUCACCAUGUGGUUGUCUACUUCUGUACAGAGGUUCCUCCUAAGCCUUCUGUUACAAACUCCCCUUUUUAAGGGAGUUUGCCAUGAGGUUUUGGAGGGGCCUGCUUGCCAGCCUCCUACCCUGGGACUAUGGGCC